rfam:Roseovarius mucosus DSM 17069 Contig116, whole genome shotgun sequence.
CAUGGACCCGGGUGCAAGGCCCGGGUGGCUCUUCCGGCCGCCUAUCCGCCGGAUCAUU